rnacentral:rRNA from 1 species
AUUGAACGCUGGCGGCAGGCCUAACACAUGCAAGUCGAGCGGCAGCGGAAAGUAGCUUGCUACUUUGCCGGCGAGCGGCGGACGGGUGAGUAAUGUCUGGGAAACUGCCUGAUGGAGAGGGAUAACUACUGGAAACGGUAGCUAAUACCGCAUAACGUCGCAAGACCAAAGAGGGGGAACUUACGGCCUCUUGCCAUCAGAUGUUCCCAGAUGGGAUUAGCUAGUAGGUGGGGUAACGGCUCACCUAGGGGACGAUCCCUAGCUGGUCUGCGAGGAUGACCAGCCACACUGGAACUGAGACACGGUCCAGACUCCUACGGGAGGCAGCAGUGGGGAAUAUUGCACAAUGGGCGCAAGCCUGAUGCAGCCAUGCCGCGUGUAUGAAGAAGGCCUUCGGGUUGUAAAGUACUUUCAGCGGGGAGGAAGGUGUUGAGGUUAAUAACCUCAGCAAUUGACGUUACCCGCAGAAGAAGCACCGGCUAACUCCGUGCCAGCAGCCGCCGUAACAC